rnacentral:rRNA from 1 species
GUGCCAGCCGCCGCGGUAAUACGGAAGGUCCGGGCGUUAUCCGGAUUUAUUGGGUUUAAAGGGAGCGCAGGCGGCCUUUUAAGCGUGACGUGAAAUGUGGAUGCUCAACAUCUGAACUGCGUCGCGAACUGGAGGGCUUGAGUGGGUACGACGCCGGCGGAAUUCGUGGUGUAGCGGUGAAAUGCUUAGAUAUCACGAAGAACCCCGAUUGCGAAGGCAGCCGGCGAGUCCUCAACUGACGCUAAAGCUCGAAAGUGCGGGUAUCGAACAGGAUUAGAUACCCUGGUAGUCCGCACGGUAAACGAUGGAUGCCCGCUGUUGGCGAUACAAUGUUAGCGGCCAAGCGAAAGCGUUAAGCAUCCCACCUGGGGAGUACGCCGGCAACGGUGAAACUCAAAGGAAUUGACGGGGGCCCGCACAAGCGGAGGAACAUGUGGUUUAAUUCGAUGAUACGCGAGGAACCUUACCCGGGCUUGAACUGCAGCAGAACGAUUCAGAGAUGAUGAGGCCCUUCGGGGCUGCUGUGGAGGUGCUGCAUGGUUGUCGUCAGCUCGUGCCGUGAGGUGUCGGCUUAAGUGCCAUAACGAGCGCAACCCUUUUCUUCAGUUGCCAUCAGGCGAUGCUGGGCACUCUGGAGACACUGCCACCGUAAGGUGUGAGGAAGGUGGGGAUGACGUCAAAUCAGCACGGCCCUUACGUCCGGGGCUACACACGUGUUACAAUGGGUGAUACAGAUCGUCGGCGUCUGGCAACAGUCGUCCAAUCGCGAAAGUCAUCCUCAGUUCGGAUUGGGGUCUGCAACCCGACCCCAUGAAGCUGGAUUCGCUAGUAAUCGCGCAUCAGCCAUGGCGCGGUGAAUACGUUCCCGGGCCUUGUACACACCGCCCGU